rnacentral:rRNA from 1 species
CUUGGUCAUUUAGAGGAAGUAAAAGUCGUAACAAGGUCUCCGUUGGUGAACCAGCGGAGGGAUCAUUACCGAGUUUACAACUCCCAAACCCAAUGUGAACCAUACCAAACUGUUGCCUCGGCGGGGUCACGCCCCGGGUGCGUCGCAGCCCCGGAACCAGGCGCCCGCCGGAGGGACCAACCAAACUCUUUUCUGUAGUCCCCUCGCGGACGUUAUUUCUUACAGCUCUGAGCAAAAAUUCAAAAUGAAUCAAAACUUUCAACAACGGAUCUCUUGGUUCUGGCAUCGAUGAAGAACGCAGCGAAAUGCGAUAAGUAAUGUGAAUUGCAGAAUUCAGUGAAUCAUCGAAUCUUUGAACGCACAUUGCGCCCGCCAGUAUUCUGGCGGGCAUGCCUGUCCGAGCGUCAUUUCAACCCUCGAACCCCUCCGGGGGGUCGGCGUUGGGGAUCGGGAACCCCUAAGACGGGAUCCCGGCCCGAAAUACAGUGGCGGUCUCGCCGCAGCCUCUCCUACGCAGUAGUUUGCACAACUCGCACCGGGAGCGCGGCGCGUCCACGUCCGUAAAACACCCAACUUCUGAAAUGUUGACCUCGGAUCAGGUAGGAAUACCCGCUGAACUUAAGCAUAUCAAUAAGCGGAGGA